rnacentral:rRNA from 1 species
UGACAUGGUAAUGCCUCCUUGUCAAAGCCUGAUCUCAUCUGAUCUCAGAAGCUAAGCAGGGUUUGGCCUGAUUAGUACCUGGAUGGGAGACCGCUGAAUACCUGGUGCUACAC